rnacentral:rRNA from 1 species
UGGGUAACCUGCCCAAAAGACUGGGAUAACACCUGGAAACAGAUGCUAAUACCGGAUAACAACACUAGACGCAUGUCUAGAGUUUAAAAGAUGGUUCUGCUAUCACUCUUGGAUGGACCUGCGGUGCAUUAGCUAGUUGGUAAGGUAACGGAUUACCAAGGCAAUGAUGCAUAGCCGAGUUGAGAGACUGAUCGGCCACAUUGGGACUGAGACACGGUCCAAACUCCUAAGGGAGGCAGCAGGC